rnacentral:rRNA from 1 species
UACAGAGGGUGCAAGCGUUAAUCGGAAUUACUGGGCGUAAAGCGUGCGUAGUCGGCUUUUUAAGUCGGGUGUGAAAUCUCCGGGCUCAACCUGGAAAUUGCAUUCGAUACUGGAAGGCUAGAGUUCGGCAGAGGGAAGUGGAAUUUCUGGUGUAGCGGUGAAAUGCGUAGAUAUCAGAAGGAACAUCAGUGGCGAAAGCGGCUUCCUGGACCAGAACUGACGAUCAGGCACGAAAGCGUGGGGAGCAAACAGG